UACGAAGGGGGCUAGCGUUGUUCGGAAUCACUGGGCGUAAAGGGCGCGUAGGCGGCUUUAUAAGUCGGGGGUGAAAGCCUGUGGCUCAACCACAGAAUUGCCUUCGAUACUGUAGAGCUUGAGACCGGAAGAGGUAAGUGGAACUGCGAGUGUAGAGGUGAAAUUCGUAGAUAUUCGCAAGAACACCAGUGGCGAAGGCGGCUUACUGGUCCGGUUCUGACGCUGAUGCGCGAAAGCGUGGGGAGCAAACGGG
rnacentral:rRNA from 1 species